CGAACGAACUCUGGUAUUGAUUGGUGCUUGCAUCAUGAUUUACAUUUGAGUGAGUGGCGAACUGGUGAGUAACACGUGGGAAACCUGCCCAGAAGCGGGGGAUAACACCUGGAAACAGAUGCUAAUACCGCAUAACAACUUGGACCGCAUGGUCCGAGUUUGAAAGAUGGCUUCGGCUAUCACUUUUGGAUGGUCCCGCGGCGUAUUAGCUAGAUGGUGGGGUAACGGCUCACCAUGGCAAUGAUACGUAGCCGACCUGAGAGGGUAAUCGGCCACAUUGGGACUGAGACACGGCCCAAACUCCUACGGGAGGCAGCAGUAGGGAAUCUUCCACAAUGGACGAAAGUCUGAUGGAGCAACGCCGCGUGAGUGAAGAAGGGUUUCGGCUCGUAAAACUCUGUUGUUAAAGAAGAACAUAUCUGAGAGUAACUGUUCAGGUAUUGACGGUAUUUAACCAGAAAGCCACGGCUAACUACGUGCCAGCAGCCGCGGUAAUACGUAGGUGGCAAGCGUKRUCCGGAUUUUAUUGGGCGUAAAGCGAGCGCAGGCGGUUUUUUAAGUCUGAUGUGAAAGCCUUUCGGCUCAACCGAAGAAGUGCAUCGGAAACUGGGGAAACUUGAGUGCAGAAGAGGACAGUGGAACUCCAUGUGUAGCGGUGAAAUGCGUAGAUAUAUGGAAGAACACCAGUGGCGAAGGCGGCUGUCUGGUCUGUAACUGACGCUGAGGCUCGAAAGUAUGGGUAGCAAACAGGAUUAGAUACCCUGGUAGUCCAUACCGUAAACGAUGAAUGCUAAGUGUUGGAGGGUUUCCGCCCUUCAGUGCUGCAGCUAACGCAUUAAGCAUUCCGCCUGGGGAGUACGGCCGCAAGGCUGAAACUCAAAGGAAUUGACGGGGGCCCGCACAAGCGGUGGAGCAUGUGGUUUAAUUCGAAGCUACGCGAAGAACCUUACCAGGUCUUGACAUACUAUGCAAAUCUAAGAGAUUAGACGUUCCCUUCGGGGACAUGGAUACAGGUGGUGCAUGGUUGUCGUCAGCUCGUGUCGUGAGAUGUUGGGUUAAGUCCCGCAACGAGCGCAACCCUUAUUAUCAGUUGCCAGCAUUAAGUUGGGCACUCUGGUGAGACUGCCGGUGACAAACCGGAGGAAGGUGGGGAUGACGUCAAAUCAUCAUGCCCCUUAUGACCUGGGCUACACACGUGCUACAAUGGAUGGUACAACGAGUUGCGAACUCGCGAGAGUAAGCUAAUCUCUUAAAGCCAUUCUCAGUUCGGAUUGUAGGCUGCAACUCGCCUACAUGAAGUCGGAAUCGCUAGUAAUCGCGGAUCAGCAUGCCGCGGUGAAUACGUUCCCGGGCCUUGUACACACCGCCCGUCACACCAUGAGAGUUUGUAACACCCAAAGUCGGUGGGGUAACCUUUUAGGAACCAGCCGCC
rnacentral:rRNA from 1 species